rnacentral:rRNA from 1 species
UUACUACUUGGAUAACCGUGGUAAUUCUAGAGCUAAUACAUGCUAAAAACCCCGACUUCGGAAGGGGUGUAUUUAUUAGAUAAAAAACCAAUGCCCUUCGGGGCUUCUUGGUGAUUCAUAAUAACUUAACGAAUCGCAUGGCCUUGCGCCGGCGAUGGUUCAUUCAAAUUUCUGCCCUAUCAACUUUCGAUGGUAGGAUAGUGGCCUACCAUGGUAUCAACGGGUAACGGGGAAUUAGGGUUCUAUUCCGGAGAGGGAGCCUGAGAAACGGCUACCACAUCCAAGGAAGGCAGCAGGCGCGCAAAUUACCCAAUCCCGACACGGGGAGGUAGUGACAAUAAAUACUGAUACAGGGCUCUUUUGGGUCUUGUAAUUGGAAUGAGUACAAUUUAAAUCCCUUAACGAGGAACAAUUGGAGGGCAAGUCUGGUGAACAYUCAGCUAAGUUCCAUUCUGCUGACSCCAGAGAUAGUAGGGCCUCACCCUUUGUWCCAGGUGAGGUUAUSCCUGCUAGUCGAUGCAUCCACAAGCAGCGAUGGGUGGAUGCCGGCAAGGUGACCUGGUACGGGGAAGCCUAAGGGCCGCUGACCUACUUCAAAGGGAGGGUCGGCAAGCGCCUAUGGUAAUCCCGUGGCGAGCCGGAGCGAUCCGGCCGUCGUAACGCGCGGAAAGGCACCGGCUGUCGCUCGGAGAGAGCGAUGGCUCAAGGGACGUGCUGUCCCAUCCGAAAGGAUGCCGCAGGCUGGAGCACCCAUCGUGCAAAGGUCUGCGGGGGCAACCCUCCMCCUCGGGGGGGUCCGCCUGGGUAAUGAUAAAACGGCCAGCAGCCGCGGUAAUUCCAGCUCCAAUAGCGWAUAUUAAAGUUGUUGCAGUUAAAAAGCUCGUAGUUGAACCUUGGGCCUGGCUGACCGGUCCGCCUCMCCGCGUGCACUGGUUCGGCCGGGCCUUUCCUUCUGGGGAUCCGCAUGCCCUUCACUGGGCGUGUCGGGGAACCAGGACUUUUACUUUGAAAAAAUUAGAGUGUUCAAAGCAGGCCUUUGCUCGAAUACAUUAGCAUGGAAUAAUAGAAUAGGACGUGCGGUUCUAUUUUGUUGGUUUCUAGGACCGCCGUAAUGAUUAAUAGGGAUAGUCGGGGGUAUCAGUAUUCAAUUGUCAGAGGUGAAAUUCUUGGAUUUAUUGAAGACUAACUACUGCGAAAGCAUUUACCAAGGAUGUUUUCAUUAAUCAGUGAACGAAAGUUAGGGGAUCGAAGACGAUCAGAUACCGUCGUAGUCUUAACCGUAAACGAUGCCGACUAGGGAUCGGGCGAUGUUAUCAUUUUGACUCGCUCGGCACCUUACGAGAAAUCAAAG